AUGCAGAGAACUUCAGAGAUGGAUGGUGCCUUCGGGAACUCUGACACAGGUGCUGCAUGGCUGUCGUCAGCUCGUGUCGUGAGAUGUUCGGGUUAAGUCCCGUAACGAGCGCAACCCUUGUCCUUAGUUACCAGCACGUUAUGGUGGGCACUCUAAGGAGACUGCCGGUGACAAACCGGAGGAAGGUGGGGGAUGACGUCAAGUCAUCAUGGCCCUUACGGCCUGGGCUACACACGUGCUACAAUGGUCGGUACAAAGGGUUGCCAAGCCGCGAGGUGGAGCUAAUCCCAUAAAACCGAUCGUAGUCCGGAUCGCAGUCUGCAACUCGACUGCGUGAAGUCGGAAUCGCUAGUAAUCGUGAAUCAGAAUGUCACGGUGAAUACGUUCCCGGGCCUU
rnacentral:rRNA from 1 species